rnacentral:rRNA from 1 species
GCAGUAGCAAUACUGAGUGGCGAACGGGUGAGUAUAAUGUGGGUAUCUGCCUUUUGGUUUGGAAUAACACGAGGAAACUUGUGCUAAUACCGAAUAAGCCCUUACGGGGAAAGUUUUAACGCCGAAAGAUGAGCCUGCACUUGAUUAGCUAGUUGGUAGGGUAAUGGCCUACCAAGGCAACGAUCAAUAGCUGAUCUGAGAGGAUGAUCAGCCACAUUGGGACUGAGACACGGCCCAAACUCCUACGGGAGGCAGCAGUGGGGAAUCUUGCACAAUGGGGGAAACCCUGAUGCAGCGAUGCCGCGUGAGUGAAGAAGGCCUUUGGGUUGUAAAGCUCUUUCGUCGGGGAAGAAAAUGACUGUACCCGAAUAAGAAGGUCCGGCUAACUUCGUGCCAGCAGCCGCGGUAAUACGAAGGGACCUAGCGUAGUUCGGAAUUACUGGGCUUAAAGAGCUCGUAGGUGGUUAAAAAAGUUGGUGGUGAAAUCCCAAGGCUCAACCUUGGAACUGCCACCAAAACUUUUUAGCUAGAGUGUGAUAGAGGAAAGUGGAAUUUCUAGUGUAGAGGUGAAAUUCGUAGAUAUUAGAAAGAACACCGAAUGCGAAGGCAACUUUCUGGAUCAUUACUGACACUGAGGAGCGAAAGCAUGGGUAGCGAAGAGGAUUAGAUACCCUCGUAGUCCAUGCUGUAAACGAUGUGUGCUAGACGUUGGGAAUUUAUUUCUCAGUGUCGCAGCAAAAGCGUAAGCACNCC